GGCGGCCACCGAGAAGCACCACAGGCUUGGAGCAAGAGUGAUCCCAGGGGACUGGGCUAGAAGACUCCAACUCUGAAAUUCUGUGAUCUUCCGAGUACGUGAUAAUAUGCCUAUUUUUAUCCAUGAAAUACUGGAUUGUAUCCUAUGUCCACCUUCGUGGGAGAUCAACAAAAUAAAGACUGAGAAGCAAAAAGGCCACCUUUUCAGGAGGGAGGGUCAUGGGCAGGAGAUGAGGAGAGUGCCGGCGAAACUCUCCACUAGGAAGCCUCAUAUUGGAAUUGUAACAAUAUGCAUCCCCAUUCCAAGAAAUUUUUGUCUUAACACAGCCGUUUCCCCACAAAUUACGUUCGUAUUUUACGAGAAAUUUCGCUUUAACUCAAACAUACUGACAGUUCUAUGCUACUAUCUGCUUCUCAUCUCACCCUUUGUUAAUUAAAAUGGGGCAGGGGCAUAGCUUAAUGCAAUGGAAAGGACCACAAUGGAAAGGAACACCGGCUUUAAAGGGGAAUAAAGACCUUGCUUGAAUGUU